GAUGAAGAACGCAGCGAAAUGUGAUAAGUAAUGUGAAUUGCAGAAUUCAGUGAAUCAUCGAAUCUUUGAACGCACCUUGCGCUCCUUGGUAUUCCGAGGAGCAUGCCUGUUUGAGUGUCAUGAGAUUCUCAACCUUUUCAGCUUUCUUUGUUGAUCAGGCUUGGAUGUGGGAGUAUGCGGGCUUCUCAGAAGUCGGCUCUCCUGAAAUGCAUUAGCGGGACCUUUGUUGCCUGGCUUUGGUGUGAUAAUUAUCUACGCCAUUGUAGUCAAGCAGCUUAAAAUGAGGUUUCAGCUUCUAACCGUCUCCCCUGAGACAACUUUUUGACAAUUUGACCUCAAAUCAGGUAGGACUACCCGCUGAACUUAAGCAUAUCAAUAAGCGGAGGA
rnacentral:misc_RNA from 1 species